UGCGAGUUAGAAGUUCUGGUGAACUCUCUGGUCUCAUAAGCCAGCUUAGGUAGGUUCGAUUCCUGCACUCGCUACCAA
rnacentral:tRNA from 1 species